rnacentral:rRNA from 1 species
GACGAACGCUGGCGGCGUGCUUAACACAUGCAAGUCGAACGAAGUGGCGAACGGGUGAGUAACGCGUAAUCAACCUGCCCUUCAGAGGGGGACAACAGUUGGAAACGACUGCUAAUACCGCAUACUGAAGGAGGGGAUUGCGUCUGAUUAGCUAGUUGGAGGGGUAACGGCCUACCAAGGCGAUGAUCAGUAGCCGGGCUGGGGGGAUGGACGGCCACAAUGGGAAUGGGACACGGCCCAGACUCCUACGGGAGGCAGCAGGGGGGAAUCUUCCGCAAUGGACGAAAGGCUGACGGAGCAACGCCGCGUGGGGGAUGACGGCCUUCGGGUUGUAAAGCUCUGUUAAUCGGGACGCGGUACCGGAAUAGAAAGCCACGGCUAACUACGUGCCAGCAGCCGCGGUAAUUC